CUGCCCUCAAGCACGGCUUGUGUGUUGGGUGUGGUCCCCCCGGGGACCUGCCCGAAAGGCAGCGGCGGCACCGCGUCCGGUCCUCGAGCGUAUGGGGCUUUGUCACUCGCUCGGGAAGGACCUGCGGGGGUUGGUCACCACCAUAUUUUACCAC
rnacentral:misc_RNA from 1 species